rnacentral:lncRNA from 1 species
AGUACUUCCUCAGUUACAUUAGCUGCAUUUCCAAUUUUAUUUUUAUUAUUUGUUAUUAUUAUUAUUAUUUUUGGCUGUGCACGUGGCAUGCAGAAGUUCCCAGGCCAGGGAUCGAAUUCACACCACAGCAGUGACAAUGCCAGAUGCUUAACUGCUAGGCCACCAGGGAAUUCCUAUAAUUUGGUAUUCUCUUCCUCAAAGAGACCCUCAAUAUUUUAUUAACUUCAGAGUCUAUAAAACUGGUUGGAAAGACCAUAUCUUGUGCCUCUUUGAAUCCUUUUAAACUUGGUUUAGUAAUGCUGAUCAUCAUAAUGAUGAUGAUUCUGAGACUUACAGAGCAUUUACAAGGCAUUCUCAGUCAUCUCAUUGGAUCCUUACAAACUAAAAGUUAGGCAUGGCCAUUGCCACUUUUACAGAUGACAAAACUGACUGCAGAGACACAAAGUGAUUUUUGCCUAAGGCCACCUAGCUAGUAAGUGACGGAGCCAGAGCUGAAGCUCAAGACUAUGGAUUCCAGAUGUCAUGCUUCCUCCUCUUAGGUUUUUGCUGCCUGUGGGUUCUGAAAGCCUUUCCAGCACUUACGGGAGGAUGCUCCUCCCCACCCCACCCCAUGCAGACCCAUUCGAAGAGCACUCCAUCUCCAUCCAACAAUUAUCUAAGUUGAAGUCGUCCAUCCUGCAUUUUUAAGUUAUUUUCCAGAUAAUGAACAUUUUUAACCAAUACAGGGUGCCCGAUACUAAUCACACAGAGCAAUCCGUAGGUGUAGGAAUUGCAUUUACCUUCCAAGCCCUAAUUGUGUUCAUUUCUUUGGGAGAACUUCUUCAACUGCCUGUCUUCAAGAGACUCUUAAAGCUCCCAAGAAAUUGCUAAGUGAUACUAGGAAUACACUUGCCUGAAUCUAGAGAUUUUGGGUAAGUAGCCUCUAAUUUAUCAUUUUACAUUACAGAAAGCCUGGAGAAUUAUAUAAAAGCCUUUGGCUUUUGCAUCUGUAUGUAAAAAUAUUCCCAAACUAGAGGAGCCCUCGAUCAUUAAUGAUGUCUAAACACUGACCCUGGAGAAAUCACUGUGUGUCUAGUCAUUCCCAAGGACAUGCCAGCUGUAAAAGCCAUGCAAGGAAGUACCUCCACCAGCAGGCCCUUGUCUUCUUUCCCAGACUUAAGCUGUCAGUGGAAAAGAGGUAAACAGAGACAGAAGUUGAGAACUCAGUCUCUGGAGUCGGGCCAGGCUGGGUGUGACCCUAGCUCCACCCCUUACCAGCUGUGGGGCUUAUGCAUAUCGCUUAACUUCAUUCAUCGAUUCCACAAAUAGUUGCUCAGUGAGCACCUACUAAAUGCCAGCUGACCAUUGUAGGUACUGAGACAAAGGAGUGAAAAAACAAAACUAUUGGAGUUCCUGAUGUGGCACAAAGGAACAUCAGUGGUGUCUUGGGAGCGCUGUGACUCAGGUUUAAUUCCAGAUAGGCACAGUGGGUUAAGAAUCAGGCAUUGCUGCAGCUCAAUAUUUAGCCUUGAUUUUAGAUUUUAAAAACAUUUGGUAUUGCUUGUUUAUAUUUUGAGCCACUCCAAAACCCUGCUUUUUAGAAAAUUCUUGAGGGAUUUCCCUCAGUGGGGCAUGUAUGAGAAACAGUCUCUGGAGCUUUGGGCCACAUGGACGGGAACUGUGAGGGCAACGGGAGAGUUACGUCCACUUGGUGAACACAGCCAUGGUCAUGAUCAGAACUUGCUCAGGUGGCCUUUGCACAGAUAUUCAUAGAAGAGCUUCCUUUUCGGUUUUAUUCUGAAGGGAUUCUGCUGAUACUAUUUUUACCACUGGAAUUUCUGUCUGCCCAGAACACAAUUUUGAAGUUUCAAAUGAAACAUUUACCUGAAUCCCUGACAUUACAGCUCACAUUCAUUUCCUUUCCUCUUGCCCUCCAGGUCUCAGCAGUGAGAUGGCCCAACCAAGAAAGAGAUCCCCCCCCCACUCCUGCUCAGAUCUGAUACCUGGGCUUUUCCUUGGGCCUCUCUGGGAUGUACCAAAACCCAAAGCCCAUGUACUGGCCAACCCUCCUUGGUACAGACACCAGGUCCAGAAUCACUCUGUCUUUGACAGUCAAGUGCACUGUCCUUUUCUCCUGCUCCUAAAGGAUCACACUAUCCUUCCUUGGUCUUUUUGUCAUUGAGAAUCCAUUUCCCAUUGGGAUCUGGAGUUCACUUCCUUGCUUCAAAUUUUUGAGAUGGGUUGAAACAAUAAGUAAGGUCAAAUUGUAUGAAAUUGCCAAAUAUCAGCUAUUUUUUUUUUUUUUUUAACCUAAAGGAAGGAAGGAGGGGAGGAAGAAAAGCUUAAAGAAGCCAGGGCUGGAAAUAGGUAACUACUCAUCUAUUCUGCUCUUUAAUGAUAAUUGUAGUUGAUGGAAUGUUUCCUCUUUAUGAAGUACUGGGCCAAGCAAAAUUUUACAUACAUCAUCUCAGUCAUUGUAGCAAGUGCAUGAAGUCCAGCUCCCUCUAUCAUCUCAUUCAAUUUCCAGUUUAAGGAUGCAAAACUGAGGGUCAGAGUUGUCAAGAGUCUUUCCCAAGGUCCUUCAACUCUAACCAGAGAAGCCAAGAGCUAUAUGCUAUAUCUUCUAUGUGACAAGGAUGGAUUACAAAUCAUUAAUCUCAAUAACUUCCACUACCUUCUUGUAAUCACCUAUGUUGUCAUUAUUAUAAGAGUAAUAGUGUUCAAUAUAGGAAAUCUGAAAAUUGUAUAACAUAUGACAGAAAAAAAUUAAAAAUGCAUAAAUCAAAGAUAAGUUCUACUAAUAUUCUGGAGUCUCUCUCAUUCUGUUUUUCUGAUUUAUUCUGCUUUUUAACAAAUUUGGAAUUGUCCUGUUUAUAUUGCUUUGUACCCUGCCUUAAAAAAAUAAAUACUAUGUCAUGAGUAUUAUUCCAAAUCAUUAAAAAUUCUCCAAAAAAGUGUUUGGUCGCAUUAUAUUGAUAUAUAAGUACUAUAACAUUAAUUGUUCAAUUGUUUUCUUCUUGUUGGAAAAGAAGUUCAUGUAUUUUGCUGUUAUAUGAUAAAGAUCCUUGAACAAAAGUCUCUGUUUUUAGUCCCCAGUGGCAGCCAAGUUUGUCUUAGAGAUGAUCUCCUUCUGAAAAAUGUCAUCAGUUACAUUUUCUGGUUGUUUAGUCACAAUGGAGUUGAUACAGCACACCUGCUGGGAGCUGACACAGCUGUGCCUGUGGUGUGAGGGCCAGGCCAAAGGCCAACAACGGGCAGAGUGGCUGGACCUGCAGCCACUGCCCACUCGGUGCUGCUCUGGGCUCAGCCUGGUGAGGACUUCCUGGGGGAAGUGGGAGGAGCAGAGUGGCGGAAGCAGGGAGAGCGCAAGUGUGGCUACUGUCCUGCACCCCUGAGAGCUCACCAGCGGCACAGAGCAGCUCACCUUGGUCCAGCCUUGGCACGUAGGGUGGCACCUAUCAUGUGGCUUGGGACACUGCACGUGUCCUCAGGCCUUCCUUCUGCAGCACACUUUCUAACCACCACAAACAAAACAGAGGACAGUGAGCAAAACACUUCCUUUUAGUUCCUCUUACCUUCCUUCAAUCCCCAAACCUACUUGUAAGUGGUCAAACUCACUUUCCCCACUCAGAGAAGAAAGGAGGGGGCUGACUUCUUUCACUGGGGACAGGGAGAAGAAAGGAAAGGGAAGAAGGCAGAAACAUAGCCAUUAGACUACAUUACCAGUUUCAUCUCUGGCUUCAUGCUUUCUUUCCUAAAGACUCACAUUUUGUAAUAUUUUAAAGCACUUAACUCAGUAAGAUUUAUUGAAUGUGUACUAUGUGCAAAGCACUGUGUUUAAGGCAGUGGAGAAUGGAAAUGGCCAAGGCCUAUCUUAAAAAAAAAAAAAAAAAAAA